UCGUGGGGUUUCGGCCCCUUCGAGAGAGAACCCUUGCCUUUUCGAGCACCUGUAUGUUUCCUCGGCAGGUGUGCCUGCCAAUGGGGACCCGUUCUGAACUCUUGCAACAACCUGUAUGAAGUCUGAAAACAAAAUAAAAUCA
rnacentral:misc_RNA from 1 species